CUAGGGAUAUUCUAUAUAAGAUUACGGCUUUGGGUGCUGUAGAUUUAACCCUUGA
rnacentral:tRNA from 1 species